GAUGAACGCUGGCGGCGUGCCUAAUACAUGCAAGUCGAGCGAACGGACGAGAAGCUUGCUUUUCUGACGUUAGCGGCGGACGGGUGAGUAACACGUGGAUAACCUACCUAUAAGACUGGGAUAACUUCGGGAAACCGGAGCUAAUACCGGAUAAUAUUUUGAACCGCAUGGUUCAAAAGUGAAAGACGGUCUUGCUGUCACUUAUAGAUGGAUCCGCGCUGCAUUAGCUAGUUGGUAAGGUAACGGCUUACCAAGGCAACGAUGCAUAGCCGACCUGAGAGGGUGAUCGGCCACACUGGAACUGAGACACGGUCCAGACUCCUACGGGAGGCGGCAGUAGGGAAUCUUCCGCAAUGGGCGAAAGCCUGACGGAGCAACGCCGCGUGAGUGAUGAAGGUCUUCGGAUCGUAAAACUCUGUUAUUAGGGAAGAACAUAUGUGUAAGUAACUGUGCACAUCUUGACGGUACCUAAUCAGAAAGCCACGGCUAACUACGUG
rnacentral:rRNA from 1 species